UCUCCACUGUCCAUAAUUUUGAUUACCGGGACUGAUGCCACUGUUUGCUCUGUGGGUUCUCUAUGAAGUGAACCAUGGCGAAGCUCUCCAUGAACAUCUCUGCUAUCCAUAAUUUCAUUGAUCCGAACUAAUGCCACAAUGCGCUCUGCGAGAUCUCUCUCCACCUGAUGCAAAACCGAUUUCUCAAUCAAAGUACUGGAAUCGACAAACUCCGCAGAAACCAGGCUCACACCAGGAUCGCCG
rnacentral:misc_RNA from 1 species